rnacentral:rRNA from 2 species
CCUGAUUGAUAAACAUUUGAGUGAGUGGCGGACGGGUGAGUAACACGUGGGUAACCUGCCCUAAAGUGGGGGAUAACAUUUGGAAACAGAUGCUAAUACCGCAUAAAACCUAACACCGCAUGGUGUAGGGUUGAAAGAUGGUUUCGGCUAUCACUUUAGGAUGGACCCGCGGUGCAUUAGUUAGUUGGUGAGGUAAAGGCUCACCAAGACCGUGAUGCAUAGCCGACCUGAGAGGGUAAUCGGCCACACUGGGACUGAGACACGGCCCAGACUCCUACGGGAGGCAGCAGUAGGGAAUCUUCCACAAUGGACGAAAGUCUGAUGGAGCAACGCCGCGUGAGUGAAGAAGGUUUUCGGAUCGUAAAACUCUGUUGUUGGAGAAGAAUGUAUCUGAUAGUAACUGAUCAGGUAGUGACGGUAUCCAACCAGAAAGCCACGGCUAACUACGUGCCAGCAGCCGCGGUAAUACGUAGGUGGCAAGCGUUGUCCGGAUUUAUUGGGCGUAAAGCGAGCGCAGGCGGUUUCUUAAGUCUGAUGUGAAAGCCUUCGGCUCAACCGAAGAAGUGCAUCGGAAACUGGGAAACUUGAGUGCAGAAGAGGACAGUGGAACUCCAUGUGUAGCGGUGAAAUGCGUAGAUAUAUGGAAGAACACCAGUGGCGAAGGCGGCUGUCUGGUCUGUAACUGACGCUGAGGCUCGAAAGCAUGGGUAGCAAACAGGAUUAGAUACCCUGGUAGUCCAUGCCGUAAACGAUGAGUGCUAGGUGUUGGAGGGUUUCCGCCCUUCAGUGCCGCAGCUAACGCAUUAAGCACUCCGCCUGGGGAGUACGACCGCAAGGUUGAAACUCAAAGGAAUUGACGGGGGCCCGCACAAGCGGUGGAGCAUGUGGUUUAAUUCGAAGCAACGCGAAGAACCUUACCAGGUCUUGACAUCCUUUGACCACUCUAGAGAUAGAGCUUUCCCUUCGGGGACAAAGUGACAGGUGGUGCAUGGUUGUCGUCAGCUCGUGUCGUGAGAUGUUGGGUUAAGUCCCGCAACGAGCGCAACCCUUAUUACUAGUUGCCAGCAUUAAGUUGGGCACUCUAGUGAGACUGCCGGUGACAAACCGGAGGAAGGUGGGGACGACGUCAAAUCAUCAUGCCCCUUAUGACCUGGGCUACACACGUGCUACAAUGGAUGGUACAACGAGUUGCGAGACCGCGAGGUUUAGCUAAUCUCUUAAAACCAUUCUCAGUUCGGAUUGUAGGCUGCAACUCGCCUACAUGAAGCCGGAAUCGCUAGUAAUCGCGGAUCAGCAUGCCGCGGUGAAUACGUUCCCGGGCCUUGUACACACCGCCCGUCACACCAUGAGAGUUUGUAAC